rnacentral:lncRNA from 10 species
AUCUAAUAGAAGUAGACCAUCAAGAGCAAGAAACAGAAAACUGAACCCCAUUUGAACUUGCUUCUCCUUAAGUCCUGUCCAAGACACAAAAGGAACAAAAAUGGCAUUGAGCCUUUCCUAGAUCCUGGCUGCUUAUGUCCAAGAUGAAGCUAGGACCUUCAGAAGCAAGCUCAAGAGAUGAUGAAUGAAGGAAGGUGGAGCUCCGAAGACCAUGAAGAACUGCUACAGAAGAAAACAAGCUUUCAAUAAAAUAAAAGAGACAUCAAUCACACAUUUUACCCAUUUAU